UGGGGAAUAUUGGACAAUGGGCGAAAGCCUGAUCCAGCAAUGCCGCGUGAGUGAAGAAGGCCUUCGGGUUGUAAAGCUCUUUUGCCCGGGAAGAUAAUGACUGUACCGGGAGAAUAAGCCCCGGCUAACUCCGUGCCAGCAGCCGCGGUAAUACGGAGGGGGCUAGCGUUGUUCGGAAUUACUGGGCGUAAAGCGCACGUAGGCGGUUUCUCAAGUCAGAGGUGAAAGCCCAGGGCUCAACCCUGGAAUUGCCUUUGAGACUGGGAGACUUGAACACGGGAGAGGUGAGUGGAAUUCCGAGUGUAGAGGUGAAAUUCGUAGAUAUUCGGAAGAACACCAGUGGCGAAGGCGGCUCACUGGACCGUUGUUGACGCUGAGGUGCGAAAGCGUGGGGAGCAAACAGG
rnacentral:rRNA from 1 species